UUCUUUUUUGUGUUGUUGGUCGUUUGACUGUGUUCAUUCGGGGCUGUGGGAGUUUGUGUGUGGUAUGUCUGUUAGUAUGGUUGGUAGUGUCUCUUUAUUGUGUAAUUUUGCUUUAUUCUAUGUGGCUGUUUGUGUGUUUGUCUGUUCCUUUGGUUGUUGUAUUCUUUUUCUGUAUUGGUUUUGGAUAUAUUUUUUCUUUGUGUUCUAGUCUCUACUUGGGAUAGUGCGUUGCUAUUUUAUUUUUUCUGUGUUUGUUUGUAUGUUUAUUAUUUUCUUUUUGUGUUGUUUGCUUGCUGUUUUUGUCUCGUGUUUUCGUUUUUGUUGUUCUUUUUUAUCUUGUGUGUUGUUCCUGUCUAGUUAUGUUUUUUUAUUGUUUAUUUCCCUUAGGUGUAAUUUCGGAUG
rnacentral:rRNA from 1 species